GGGGCCGACCGGUUUUGACAGGAUGUGUGAGUGCGUAUGCCAGCAUGCAGGCUCAUGGGGUGAGAGCCUUAAAAGAUAGUCCUAAAACCAUACUUGGCGAGUCUAACUACGCCUUGGCUGCUUAAUCUAACGUAUCGUUAGAUAAGUUUGUCUCCGAUAAGAUCGGAGAGGCCAACAUCGCUCACCGCCUUUGUUCUGCAGGAGGUGAAUAUGCGGUGUCGUUUGUCGGAACUGCUCUGUGUGACGUUACUAAACACAGCUAAGACAUAGUGACUAAGGAGAAGUUGAGGUUGUUGACUGCCUUGCUCCUCCCGACAAUCAAAGUUAACUAAGCAUGUAGAAUCUACGCGUUUAUCUUCUCUGGACCAGAGUUCGAUUCUCUGCGGCUCCACAA
rnacentral:tmRNA from 1 species